UACGAAGGGGGGCUAGCGUUGCUCGGAAUUACUGGGCGUAAAGCGCACGUAGGCGGCUUUCUAAGUCGGGGGUGAAAUCCUGGAGCUCAACUCCAGAACUGCCUUCGAUACUGGAGAGCUUGAGUCCGGGAGAGGUGAGUGGAACUGCGAGUGUAGAGGUGAAAUUCGUAGAUAUUCGCAAAAACACCAGUGGCGAAGGCGGCUCACUGGCCCGGUACUGACGCUGAGGUGCGAAAGCGUGGGGAGCAAACAGG
rnacentral:rRNA from 1 species